GCAAGCAAACUCAUACUACUCUCUCUCUCUCUCUCUCUCUCUCUCUCACACACACACAGAGAGAGAGAGAGAGAGAGAGAGAGAGAGAGAGAGAGAGCUGGGCUUAACCAUGCAA